rnacentral:rRNA from 1 species
GUGGGGAAUAUUGGACAAUGGGCGCAAGCCUGAUCCAGCCAUGCCGCGUGAGUGAUGAAGGCCCUAGGGUUGUAAAGCUCUUUCAGUGGGGACGAUAAUGACGGUACCCACAGAAGAAGCCCCGGCUAACUUCGUGCCAGCAGCCGCGGUAAUACGAAGGGGGCUAGCGUUGUGCGGAUUUACUGGGCGUAAAGCGCACGUAGGCGGAUCGUUAAGUCGAGGGUGAAAUCCUGGGGCUCAACUCCAGAACUGCCUUCGAUACUGGCGAUCUUGAGUCCGGAAGAGGUGAGUGGAACUCCUAGUGUAGAGGUGGAAUUCGUAGAUAUUAGGAAGAACACCAGUGGCGAAGGCGGCUCACUGGUCCGGUACUGACGCUGAGGUGCGAAAGCGUGGGGAGCAAACAGGAUUAGAUACCCUUGUAGUCC